rnacentral:hammerhead_ribozyme from 1 species
GUGCUGCCGAAGAGUCCCAAACUAGGACGAAACAGCUGUCCAGUAU